CGGUAACAGGUCUUCGGACGCUGACGAGUGGCGUACGGGUGAGUAAUACAUCGGAACGUGCCCAGUCGUGGGGGAUAACUACUCGAAAGAGUAGCUAAUACCGCAUACGAUCUGAGGAUGAAAGCGGGGGACUUCGGGCCUCGCGCGAUUGGAGCGGCCGAUGGCAGAUUAGGUAGUUGGUGGGAUAAAAGCUUACCAAGCCGACGAUCUGUAGCUGGUCUGAGAGGACGACCAGCCACACUGGGACUGAGACACGGCCCAGACUC
rnacentral:rRNA from 1 species